rnacentral:rRNA from 1 species
GACGAACGCUGGCGGCGUGCUUAACACAUGCAAGUCGAACGGUGAAGCGCCUUCCUUUUUGGUGGGUGUGGAUGAGUGGCGAACGGGUGAGUAACACGUGAGUAACCUGCCCCCUUCUUCUGGAUAACCGCAUGAAAGUGUGGCUAAUACGGGAUAUUCUGGGUCUGUCGCAUGAUGGGUCUGUGAAAGAUAUUGUUUCGGUGGGGGAUGGGCUCGCGGCCUAUCAGCUUGUUGGUGGGGUGAGGGCCUACCAAGGCGGUGACGGGUAGCCGGCCUGGGAGGGUGGACGGUCACACUGGGACUGAGACACGGACCAGACUCCUACGGGAGGCAGCAGUGGGGAAUAUUGCACAAUGGGCGCAAGCCUGAUGCAGCGACGCCGCGUGAGGGAUGGAGGCCUUCGGGUUGUGAACCUCUUUCGCCAGUGAAGCAGGCCUGCCUCGUUUGUGGGUGGGUUGACGGUAGCUGGAGAAGAAGCGCCGGCUAACUACGUG